UGGGGAAUCUUCCGCAAUGGGCGAAAGCCUGACGGAGCAACGCCGCGUGAGUGAAGACGGCCUUCGGGUUGUAAAGCUCUGUUAUAUGGGACGAACGGGUGUAUGGUCAAUACCCAUACGCCGUGACGGUACCGUAAGAGAAAGCCACGGCUAACUACGUGCCAGCAGCCGCGGUAAUACGUAGGUGGCAAGCGUUGUCCGGAAUCAUUGGGCGUAAAGGGCGCGCAGGCGGUUCGGUAAGUCGGUCUUAAAAGUGCGGGGCUUAACCCCGUGAUGGGAUUGAAACUGCCGGACUGGAGUGUCGGAGAGGAAAGCAGAAUUCCUAGUGUAGCGGUGAAAUGCGUAGAUAUUAGGAGGAAUACCAGUGGCGAAAGCGGCUUUCUGGACGACAACUGACGCUGAGGCGCGAAAGCCAGGGGAGCAAACGGGAUUAGAU
rnacentral:rRNA from 1 species